GAUGAACGCUGGCGGCGUGCUUAACACAUGCAAGUCGAACGGAAAGGCCCAAGCUUGCUUGGGUACUCGAGUGGCGAACGGGUGAGUAACACGUGGGUGAUCUGCCCUGCACUUCGGGAUAAGCCUGGGAAACUGGGUCUAAUACUGGAUAGGACCACUUCCUGGAUGUUGUGGUGGAAAGUUUUUUCGGUGUGGGAUGAGCUCGCGGCCUAUCAGCUCGUUGGUGGGGUAAUGGCCUACCAAGGCGUCGACGGGUAGCCGGCCUGAGAGGGUGUACGGCCACAUUGGGACUGGGAUACGGCCCAGACUCCUACGGGGGGCAGCAGUGGGGAAUAUUGCACAAUGGGCGCAAGCCUGAUGCAGCGACGCCGCGUGGGGGAUGACGGCCUUCGGGUUGUAAACUCCUUUCGCUAGGGACGAAGCGUUUUGUGACGGUACCUGGAGAAGAAGCACCGGCUAACUACGUG
rnacentral:rRNA from 1 species